rnacentral:rRNA from 1 species
UAGUCAUAUGCUUGUCUCAAAGAUUAAGCCAUGCAUGUCUAAGUAUCCGCAAAUUAUACUGUGAAACUGCGAAUGGCUCAUUAAAUCAGUUAUAGUUUACUUGAUGUUUCUUGCUACAUGGAUAACUGUGGUAAUUCUAGAGCUAAUACAUGUGUAAAAAGCCCCGACUUCUGGAAGGGGUGUAUUUAUUAGAUAAAAACCAUCCUCCUCGGAGUUUGGUGAUUCAUAAUAACUUCUCGAAUCGCACGGCCUUGUGCUGGCGAUGCUUCAUUCAAAUAUCUGCCCUAUCAACUGUCGAUGGUAGGAUAGAGGCCUACCAUGGUUGCAACGGGUAACGGGGAAUAAGGGUUCGAUUCCGGAGAGGGAGCCUGAGAAACGGCUACCACAUCCAAGGAAGGCAGCAGGCGCGCAAAUUACCCAAUCCCGACACGGGGAGGUAGUGACAAGAAAUAACAAUACAGGGCAAUACUGUCUUGUAAUUGGAAUGAGUAGAAUUUAAAUCUCUUGAUGAGUAUCAAUU